rnacentral:lncRNA from 7 species
GAUCAGCUCUUAGGCUUUUGGGCUAAAGAAUUCUGUCUUUAUGGUGUUGAAAGGGGUUCUGGAGCCAUCAUCACAGCUUAAACUGGGUGUUGCGCCUUGUAAUUAAUGCUGCCUGCCACACUGCUGGGAGUAUCCUUGCUUCUCUCUCCACGUUUUCAGGAGAAAGUCUCCUUUGUGAUGGAAGAAAAUAACUGCACUUGUGUAAGAUUACCUAUCCUGUUCUGUCUGGUCAUUUAGGAUGAGCACCCAAUGUCAGAGCCAGUAGAAGGCAAUAAGCUGCACCUGGACCACUGCAGUUCAGCCUGGGGUUGCAGGUGAAACCCAUCUUUGCUGGGGUUGAGGCUGCUGUAGUGAAUGGCAGCUCUGAGGAGCAGAACACACGGCCCUUCCAUAAGCCCUCAUGAUGGGCCUUGUCCUCUGUGAGGAAAGGGUGAGGCUGGGCAGGACGGGUUGGCUUGGUUGAGAGCAGAACUCAUAAUGUGGCUCAUCUCCCUGGCGUCCCUCCAGACAAAGAAAGGCAACUGAGGCAAAAUUGGCCUGUCAGAUCUGUUAGGAUGAUCUGUGCCAACCUAAUCAGCUUGAAAAUACCCUGAUCAGUAGACUGUUGGAAAGCUAAUAUUUGUGUAAUUGAUCUGGUGAUAAUGGCUUCUCUUCCUCCUCAGCCAUAGAGAAAAGCAACACUUAGUUGGAGAAGAGUUUUCUGAUGAUUUUUUUUCCUCUCUCCUGCUCAGCAAAUAGAGUGGAGACUGUAAAUGGUAGUCAUUUUAGAACUGUUCCUUCAAAACAAUGAUACAUGGUUUAAUUUUACUAUUAUGCAAAGUCUCAUUGAAUCCAGAGGAGAUUACUCAUGGUAGUGAAGUGCAGGACAAUAAAUGCUUGCAGGAUCAGGGACUGUCUCUGUUCUUUAGUCUAAAGCAUUGUCAUUACAUUGUGCCUCACUGAUAAUUGGUCUGCCUCAAAAGUUUUACUUCUGCUUUUCCUGCAUUGUACUUCUUUUAGAUUUAAUUGCUACAUUUUUCUCUGCUAAUGCAUGGGAUUCCUGGACGAGAAGUUGUGUUGUGUUAAAGAUUCAAACCCAGCCAAUCUGCAUUCUGAUGGUGUUGCAUAAAAAGUUAUUAAGCUUUACUGCUGGGUCCAAGCAGGCAGCUCAAUUCAAUCCUAGCAGGCUCAGUGCUUUCCUGGGUCACCGGCUCCCUUUGAAUGCUCUGCUGCAAGUUUCCUUCUCUACCUGCUGGGCUAACUAUUUCAUUCAUUAACCACUGUUACCGGCAAUCCUGGCCUUUGGCACUUGUUUUUAUACAUGCAGCUUCCUGUUGCACUCAGGCACUGUCACACAAAAUACCUUCAAGGUGGAAAAACAAUGUUUUCUCCAAAUGAAAACAUCUCUUGCUUUUACCUCAAGAAAGAGAAAUGAGGCUUGCAUUCACAUAUGAGUAUUACAAUGUACUUUAUCUGGCUGACUGUUGUAUUUAAAGGCAAUAAAGAGAGAGAUGAUCAGCUGGUCUCUAAAGAGGGGCAAUGCUGAAACUGCCAGUAGGGAAAUUAUAUCAAAUGAUAAUCAGUGCAAAAAGAUGCAUUUAUUUGAGCUGUAGUAAUACUAGGUAUGACAUCAACAAUGACACGAUUUUUGUUGUAGCUCUUUUUAAUG